CUACGGGUUGCUCCAGUGGGGAAUAUUGGACAAUGGGGGAAACCCUGAUCCAGCAAUGCCGCGUGUGUGAAGAAGGCCUGCGGGUUGUAAAGCACUUUCGGUUGGGAGGACUGCUUCUAGCACUAAUAUUGUUGGAAGUUGACGUUACCUUCAGAAGAAGCACCGGCUAACUCCGUGCCAGCAGCCGCGGUAUUACGGAGGGUGCAAGCGUUAAUCGGAAUUACUGGGCGUAAAGCGCGCGUAGGCGGCUAGAUCAGUCGGGUGUGAAAGCCCCGGGCUUAACCUGGGAACUGCAUCCGAUACUGUCUAGCUUGAGUACAGGAGAGGAGAGUGGAAUUCCACAUGUAGCGGUGAAAUGCGUAGAUAUGUGGAGGAACACCAAUGGCGAAGGCAGCUCUCUGGCCUGAUACUGACGCUGAGGUGCGAAAGCAUGGGGAGCAAACAGGAUUAGAUACCCGGGUAGUC
rnacentral:rRNA from 1 species